rnacentral:lncRNA from 1 species
AAACCAUGAGGAGGCACAAUAAGAAAGCAUAAAGAGUGGUAGAAAGAGGUUUUGAAUUUCGUGAGGCCAGGGACUUUGUCUAAAAACACAUUCAGUGAUUAUAUAAGUGCCAAAUGUGGGCUGAGAUCUUUUGAGAGAGAGCUCAUCCUCAGAGGAACUCUUUGAGGAAGACGUCUGGUGAACACCCGUGGGAUCUAAAGAACAAGUAAGAUUUAAGCAUGCUAUGGGUUUUUUGGUCUGUUUUUUAAGUUUUCUUUGUUUUAUAGUAUUUCUUUACCACUAUAAAUUGUCACUUCUUAGAUAAGCAUUAGCACUUUUAUUAUGGAGCAUGAGGAAUAAAAAUGAACUUUUAACACUUUUGGAUUAUUUGGAGGCUUUAAAAACCUACACGAAUUUUCUACAUAUGGUAGGCAGACAGAAAGACAUUAUAGAUGGAGUGAAAUUUCAAGCCCAAAGUAAUGGGCAUGUUUUUAUGCUGAGUGAGAACAAAUCUUUAGAAUGAAUUCUUAUAAGGUAAUUUUUAAAUGAAGUGUCUAUUGCUAUAGCUGUUUUACUCUUACCUCUUGCCUAACAGAACAGGUCAGAGAGUAGUUCCUUUGAAGUCCCAAACCUACUUACUACCUGCAGAACCAUGACUUGGUACCAGAGAAUUUGGGCAAUAUGGGGUACAUUCCCCAAAUUAGAAUGUAAUAUAUGUUGGGAUGAUAAGGAGAGGGGCUUUAGUUAAUAGAGUAGAAAAGAGAAUAGGUGAGAUAAUGGUCAAAAGUAAAGCAAAUGAAGAGGGGAAAGUUGAAAAUAAUCAUAGGGAAUAAAGCAGAUCACCAUAAAAAUAAAAAGAGUAAACAAAUAGAUUACAUAAUAUUUUAUUAUCAACUAUUGAAAGAAAGGAUACAGAAAUAGGACAAAAUAAGAAUAGAGUGGAAACUGGAAACUAAAGAGAGGUAGAGACAGGAUAUGUAACAGGUUAUACUUGAUUAAAAUAGAGAAAUAAAAGAGGAAGUGUUCUAAGAUAAAGUUCCAUUUUUAAUUUUUCCUACUUAUUUGACAAUUUACUUAGUUGAAACUAGAUCUUGAGUGGUUUAAAAAAUAGAAAUGUUGAAUAUUUUUAUCUGUUUCAUUGAAGAAGGAAAAAUUGUAGUCAUCGUAUAAUUAUUUGAUGUUUUGGAGAUUUUUGCUUUAUGCGCAAUUCAAGCCAUGUUCAAAUGAAGAAAAUGUUUCUUGAUUUGUAUCAAGUUUUCCUUGAGUGUUCUAACCCUGCUCUACUCUUGAAAUCACUUGACUUUGAAAAAAGGGAAAAUCAUGCAUUUAGAGAGGUUAAAUAAGUCAUUAUAAUGUCUUUCUCAUCUACAGAAAGCAUGUGUUAACCAAUAUAAAUUUACAGUCAGAACAGUUCAAAUUGCUCCUGCAUUCAGGAAGGCAAAGCCCUAAAUUGAGCCUGUUGUUAUUGUGUAAUUGCUAUUUGCAGGCAAAAGAAAGGUUAACACUGGGACUUCCCUUCAUGGCUCAGGGAAAAGGCCGCAGGUUCCAUCCCUGGCCUUACUAAGUGGGUUAAGGAUCCUGCAUUGCUGUAAGCUGUGUUGUAGGUCGCAAACAUGGCUCGGAUCCCAUGUUGCUAUGGCUAUGGUGUAGACCAGAGGCUACAGCUCCAACUCAACCCCUAGCCUGGGAACCUCCAUAUGCCACAGGUGUGGCCCUAAAAAAAAAAA